rnacentral:rRNA from 1 species
GUCCUUUUGAAUUUUAUUUAAGGUCUGGCCUGCUCAAUGAAUUUUAAAUAGCCGCAGUAUUUUGACUGUGCAAAGGUAGCAUAAUCAAUAGUUUUUUAAUUGAAAACUGGAAUGAAGGGUUAAAUAAAAAAAUAACUGUCUCAAUUUAAAUUUUAUUGAAUUUUAUUUUUAAGUUAAAAAGCUUAAAUUUCAUUUAAAGACGAGAAGACCCUAUAGAGCUUAAAAUUUAAUUUGAUUAGAAAAAUUUAGAUUUAAAAAAUUUUGAUUUAAUUAAAUUUUUAAUUGGGGUGAUUGAAAAAUUUAAAUAACUUUUUUUAUAUUGAUACAUAAAUUUAUGAAUAAAUGAUCCAUAAAAAUGAUUAAAAGAAAAAGUUACCUUAGGGAUAACAGCGUAAUUUUUUUUGAGAGUUCAUAUCGAAAAAAGAGAUUGCGACCUCGAUGUUGGAUUAAAAUUUAGUUUUGGUGUAGAAGCUAAAAUAUUAGGUCUGUUCGACCUUUAAAAUUUUACA